rnacentral:rRNA from 1 species
GAUGAACGCUGGCGGCGUGCCUAAUACAUGCAAGUCGAGCGAACAGACGAGGAGCUUGCUCCUCUGACGUUAGCGGCGGACGGGUGAGUAACACGUGGAUAACCUACCUAUAAGACUGGGAUAACUUCGGGAAACCGGAGCUAAUACCGGAUAAUAUAUUGAACCGCAUGGUUCAAUAGUGAAAGACGGUUUUGCUGUCACUUAUAGAUGGAUCCGCGCCGCAUUAGCUAGUUGGUAAGGUAACGGCUUACCAAGGCAACGAUGCGUAGCCGACCUGAGAGGGUGAUCGGCCACACUGGAACUGAGACACGGUCCAGACUCCGAGGGGAGGCAGCAGAAGGGAAUCUUCCGCAAUGGGCGAAAGCCUGACGGAGCAACGCCGCGUGAGUGAUGAAGGUCUUCGGAUCGUAAAACUCUGUUAUGAGGGAAGAACAAAUGUGUAAGUAACUAUGCACGUCUUGACGGUACCUAAUCAGAAAGCCACGGCUAACUACGUG